rnacentral:rRNA from 1 species
GACGAACGCUGGCGGCGUGCCUAAUACAUGCAAGUAGAACGCUGAAGGAGGAGCUUGCUUCUCUGGAUGAGUUGCGAACGGGUGAGUAACGCGUAGGUAACCUGCCUGGUAGCGGGGGAUAACUAUUGGAAACGAUAGCUAAUACCGCAUAAUAGUAGAUGUCGCGUGACAUUUGCUUAAAAGGUGCAAUUGCAUCACUACCAGAUGGACCUGCGUUGUAUUAGCUAGUUGGUGAGGUAACGGCUCACCAAGGCAACGAUACAUAGCCGACCUGAGAGGGUGAUCGGCCACACUGGGACUGAGACACGGCCCAGACUCCUACGGGAGGCAGCAGUAGGGAAUCUUCGGCAAUGGACGGAAGUCUGACCGAGCAACGCCGCGUGAGUGAAGAAGGUUUUCGGAUCGUAAAGCUCUGUUGUAAGAGAAGAACGAGUGUGAGAGUGGAAAGUUCACACUGUGACGGUAUCUUACCAGAAAGGGACGGCUAACUACGUG